GCUGUGGUGUGUCUGCUCUGCCUUCAGCUGAUGAUCGCUGUGCCCCCAGAGCCGCCCGAGCACUGGUGCCGCUAUCAGGGCCCGGAAUGGCUGCGUGUGACUGUGUAACUGUGUGUGUGACUGUGUGUGUGACUGUGUGUGUGACUGUGUGACUGUGUGUGACUGUGUGUGACUGUGUGUGUGACUGUGUGUGACUGUGUGUGUGACUGUGUGUGUGACUGUGACUGUGUGUGUGACUGUGUGUGUGACUGUGUGUGGCUGUGUGUGGCUGUGUGUGUGGCUGUGUGUGACUGUGUGUGUGACGUUGCGUGUGACUGUUUGUGUGACUGUGUGUGACUGUGUGUGUGGCUGUGUGUGACUGUGUGUGUGACGUUGCGUGUGACUGUGUGUGUGACUGUGUGUGACUGUGUGUGUGACUGUGUGUGGCUGUGUGUGUGACUGUGUGUGUGACUGUGUGACUGUGUGUGUGACUGUGUGUGGCUGUGUGUGGCUGUGUGUGACUGUGUGUGUGAGCCCUGUCCGUGUGUCCGUCUGUGUGUGUGAGCCCUGUCCGUGUGUCCUUCUGUGUGUGUGAGCCCUGUCCGUGUGUCUGUCUGUGUGUGUGAGCCCUGUGUGUCUGUCUCUGUGUGUGAGCCCUGUCUGUGUGUCUGGCUGUGUGUGAGCCCUGUCUGUGUGUCUGUCUCUGUGUGUGAGCCCUGUCUGUGUGUCUGUCUCUGUGUGUCUGGCUGUGUGUGUGAGCCCUGUCCGUGUGUCUGGCUGUGUGUGAGCCCUGUCCGUGUGUCUGUCUCUGUGUGAGCCCUGUCUGUGUGUCUGUCUCUGUGUGAGCCCUGUCUGUGUGUCUGGCUGUGUGUGUGAGCCCUGUCUGUGUGUCUGGCUGUGUGUGAGCCCUGUCUGUGUGUCUGUCUGUGUGUGUGAGCCCUGUCUGUGUGUCUGUCUGUGUGUGAGCCCUGUCUGUGUGUCUGGCUGUGUGUAAGCCCUGUCUGUGUGUCUGUCUGUGUGUGUGAGCCCUGUGUGUCUGUCUCUGUGUGUGAGCCCUGUCUGUGUGUCUGUCUGUGUGUGUGAGCCCUGUCUGUGUGUCUGACCCCGCCGAGCCCGCGGGGCGCUCCCGCCGCAAGAUGGCGGCGCCGCGGCCCCGCCCCCGCCUCGCCCAAGAUGGCGGC
rnacentral:lncRNA from 1 species